UGCUUGUUUGUUUUUAGGGAAGAGAAAUUGUAAUCUUUCUAAUAUUAUUUCGUAUUCCACGAACUUUGGUGAAUAUCUAGGGAUAAGAGCAGGGAAGGUUUGACAAAUAUCGCUUCGACUCCGUCGUGUGUUUCACUUGAUGAGGCAAAAUAUCGCCACUGUGUUUAUUUCUAAGUUACAAGUUGCAUAAAAUAACAAUCUAGCGACUUGUCUACAGCCCGUACAUGUGCUGCACAUAAAACUAUCAAACGGUGUCCAACAAUGCGCUGUGCAAACUCUCUCUUACUUGUAACAGGGGGGAGAUGUGGGGCUGCUUGCCCAGUCUCACGACAAUAAUGAACACAAGUUAACACUGUCGUGGGUUUCAGGUGCUCUUACUCUCGCUCCGGUUGAUGGCUCCGGCUAAGGCGAAGCGUUCCCAAGAGAACUUCUCUGUGUGGUGAUGCUCCCACCUCUACAUCUCUCUCAGAAUGCUCUUACCCUGUCUGGAGGUGGUUAGAACAACCAGCGGGUCUUUCCUCCUGUAAAACCAGGGACACGGGUUACUGGCUAGGAAUAACCCCGGGGAAAGCCUAACUUUACUAUACCGCAACCAUAGUUGCGCAUGACGGAAGUGGCAGACAUGAUAGAAGCUAUCUACUGCAGAUUAAAUCCCUUUAAGUCAUUGUGAAGCAAUGUGAUGUAUUUUUCAUAUUCCUUCGUGACUGCUCGUUGAUCAAGGUCGAGUAGUCGCACGUGUGAUUUGUGUGGUACUAAGGAGAUAUACCACAAAAUUACAGAAACUAUGCUUUUAACAGAGAUUGCGGGUACCAUCCCAUUAAAGUUGGUGAAGCUGCAUGAGAAGCGAAGAGUUGUGUGUCGUCAAUAAAAAUUACAUGGAUAUUUUAGGGGGUGGCUGGCAUCGGUUCAAAUCAGACCCUGGGAUUGUAAAAUCAUGUCACUUAGAAUUAAGUCGUACGGUGAGAUUUAGGAUUUCAACUAAGAAGCAGACGACGUGACGUCAUACGCUUCCAUUCUUACACCUGCGUGUACUCCGCCAUGUUUGUGAUGGCCGGCGAUUACGAUUUAGCAAAUUUUGUGCCGUCGUUCAUUUUAAGGUUGUAAUAGCGAAAGAAGAGUAUAUUCCUGUGGAGUUUGACUGCAACACGUGUAGUUCUGGUUCCAAGUACUGAGGCAGAAUGGCAACAAAUUUCACAAGAAUUUGCACAGCGAUGGAAUCUGCCAAACUGCAUUGGAGCCAUAGAUUUCAAGCAUGUUGCCAUUUGGUCCCCUGGUGGGUCAACACACUAUAACUAUUUAAAAUUCCACAUCAUUAUUCUUCUGGCAGUUGUAGAUGCUAUGUUUUGACGUGGGAGCAAAUGGCAGGGCAGGUGAUGCUGGUGUUUUCAGAGACAGUACUCUAGCUGCUGCUCUUAAGAACAACACUCUUAAUAUUCCAACGCCAGUGCCUCUGCCAGACUGUGUUACACCUGUCCCAUACUUUAUUGUAGGGGAUGAUGCCUUUCCCCUUAAACAAUAUCUACUACAAUCAUUCCCAUUCAGAAAGGUCAUUCAGAAUCUGCAAGAUGCUGAGGAGGAGAUGGAGAGAAGGCGACAAAGAAUUUUUGACUAUAGAUUGUCAAGAGCUCGAAGAAUUGUAGAAAACAUGUUUGGCAUUCUGGUGCCACGCUUUGAUGUUUUACAGAAACCAAUGGCCCAUAGCCUGGAAUGAGCCACAAUGAUCACACUUGCAUGUAUUGCACUCCACAACUUCUUGCGAUCUAAAGCGGACCAAGAGUUUGUGCCAUCCUGUUUCAUUGACAGGGAAGAAACUGAAUGCCAAAGUGUAAUUGAGGGAGACGCGCCUAAAUACACAUCAGCUGCAACCCUUAACUAUGUUGCUGUCAACAGGUCAUGUGACUGAUGCCAGACUUGUGCGUGAGGAAGUAAAAACUUAUGUGAAUGAGUAGGGCACCGUACCAUAGCAAAAUCCCAUUGUAUUUGGUGAUUAAUAGGUUGUGUGUGAGUGUAGUAAGCAUGAGUAUGUGAGGUGGAACUAGUUUAUACUCUAACCCAAGAGCUCCCAACAAAAGAAAAUUUCUAUUAAUGAUGUUUCUUAUUGUAUGCAUGUGUUUGUGUGUGUAUAUAUAAAGAGAACUGUUUUUUUUUUUACUUUUUACAGUGAGUAUAUAUUAUUUUGCAGUUAGCUCUGAUUCUUAACUGUUUUUUGUACUUUAACCUCUUCAUUGCCCAUCAUUCUGUUUCUUCAGAUGCAUAUGCAUUAGUUUUUGCAUUAAGAUUUGAGUAAGUAUAUGAGCAUGAUGCUUGAAAGAUUUGAAAGUGAUAAAUUUAUAGUAUUUAAAUCAAAAUAUAUUUAACUAUUAAAUGAAUGAUGGAAAUGCA